UCUUGUCUCUUUUCUUUCACCAGCAGCAGGUAGUCCUCCUCGCACCCCUGCGUUGUAUGCCCCGCUGGUCGGGACAUAAACUGGCGCCCAACGUGGGGCCCGAGGCACGGAACGGCGCUGUUGGCACCUACUCGGAAGACGCCCCGGCCGGGCACCCCUUGAGCCCAAGAGCUCGCUUGGAGCCCGUGAGCCAUCAGCCCACGGGAUAAGACUCCGCGUUGAUCGUCGCUGGAUUGGCCGCCCCAGCAGACAUCGGAACGGCAAUGAAGCUCUGCCUCUUUAUCCUCCUCAUAUGCUCCUCCUGUAUAUACGCCGGCUUCGGACCCCUGCCAAAUCCGCAAGAACUCAUAAGACUCCUCUAUGGGAACCCCUGUGACUGCGGUGGAGGUACGACCACGAUUACCCCCUCCUCUUAUACUAAAACAAUUGACUGCUCCUCAAAAAUAGCCUACCUAGCCUAUAGUCAAA